GAGUUUGAUCCUGGCUCAGAUUGAACGCUGGCGGCAUGCCUUACACAUGCAAGUCGAACGGCAGCACGGGAGCAAUCCUGGUGGCGAGUGGCGAACGGGUGAGUAAUACAUCGGAACGUGCCCAGUAGUGGGGGAUAGCCCGGCGAAAGCCGGAUUAAUACCGCAUACGACCUACGGGUGAAAGUGGGGGAUCGCAAGACCUCACGUUAUUGGAGCGGCCGAUGUCAGAUUAGGUUGUUGGUGGGGUAAAAGCCUACCAAGCCGACGAUCUGUAGCUGGUCUGAGAGGACGACCAGCCACACUGGGACUGAGACACGGCCCAGACUCCUACGGGAGGCAGCAGUGGGGAAUUUUGGACAAUGGGCGCAAGCCUGAUCCAGCCAUGCCGCGUGCGGGAAGAAGGCCUUCGGGUUGUAAACCGCUUUUGUCAGGGAAGAAACGGUCUGCGUUAAUACCGCGGACUAAUACGGUACCCGAAGAAUAAGCACCGGCUAAC
rnacentral:rRNA from 1 species